GAGCACGUAGGUGGGUUUGUAAGUCAGAUGUGAAAGCCUUCUGUUCAACGGAAGAAUUGCAUCUGAAACUGCGAGUCUUGAGUGUAGGAGGGGAGAAUGGAACUUCUGGUGGGGCGGUGAAAUGCGUAGAUAUCAGAAGGAACUCCGGCGGCGAAAGCGAUUCUCUGGCCUAUUACUGACACUCAGUGUGCGAAAGCUAGGGGAGCAAACGGGAUUAGAUACCCCGGUAGUCCUAGCCGUAAACGAUGGGCACUAAGUAGAGGGGUUUU
rnacentral:rRNA from 1 species